UACAGAGGGUGCGAGCGUUGUCCGGAAUUACUGGGCGUAAAGAGCUCGUAGGUGGUUUGUCGCGUUGUCCGUGAAAACUCACAACUCAAUUGUGGGCGUGCGGGCGAUACGGGCAGACUGGAGUACUGCAGGGGAGACUGGAAUUCCUGGUGUAGCGGUGGAAUGCGCAGAUAUCAGGAGGAACACCGGUGGCGAAGGCGGGUCUCUGGGCAGUAACUGACGCUGAGGAGCGAAAGCGUGGGGAGCGAACAGG
rnacentral:rRNA from 1 species